CUAUGGUAGCAUGAAGAAGUGGAAGCCUGGAGAGCUGAAGGGUAUUGAUCACUGCCUCCGAGAGACCCAGUAAGAGUCUUUCUUUCUCAAGACCCAUACCCCCAGUUUGAGGCGUUCCAGAUGAGGAUGGAAUACAGGGCCCUGCGUUAGCAGAUCCUCCAUCACUGGAAGAGGCCAAGGUUGUUCCUGGCUCAUCAUGGCCAAUAGGGGAAACCACGGCCUCCGAGGCCAAAUUACGGCAAUGACUUUCUUGCCUUCCGACCAAACCUUCCGUAGGAACCUGG